AGGACGAACGCUGGCGGCGCGCUUAAUACAUGCAAGUCGAGCGAGAACCAGGGCUUCGGCUCUGGGGACAGCGGCGAACGGGUGAGUAACACGUGGGUAAUCAACCCCCGACACCGGGAUAGCCCAGGGAAACUUGGAUUAAUACCGGAUGCUCCGUCUGGCCUUCGGGCCGGCCGGAAAAGGGUAGCUUCGGCCUCCGGUCGGGGACGAGCCCGCGGCGGAUUAGCUUGUUGGUGAGGUAAAGGCUCACCAAGGCGACGAUCCGUAGCUGGUCUGAGAGGACGAUCAGCCACACUGGGACUGAGACACGGCCCAGACUCCUACUGGAGGCAGCAGUAGGGAAUCUUGCGCAAUGGGCGAAAACCUGACGCAGCGACGCCGCGUGAGGGAAGAAGGCCUUCGGGUUGUAAACCUCUUUCAGGAGGGACGAAGCCACUCGGGUUAAUAGCCCAGAGGGUGACGGUACCUCCAGAAGAAGCCCCGGCUAACUACGUGCCAGCAGCCGCGGU
rnacentral:rRNA from 1 species